rnacentral:lncRNA from 1 species
UCGCAAUGCCGCCCAAGGACGACGAGAAGAAGGACGCUGGAAAGUCAGCCAAGAAAAACAAAGACCCAGUGAACAAAUCCGGGGGCAAGGCCAAAAAGAAGAAGUGGUCCAAAGGCAAAGUUCGGGACAAGCUCAAUAACUUAGUCUUGUUUGACAAAGCUACCUAUGACAAACUCUGUAAGGAAGUUCCCAACUAUAAACUUAUAACCCCAGCUGUGGUCUCUGAGAGACUGAAGAUUCGAGGCUCCCUGGCCAGGGCAGCCCUUCAGGAGCUCCUUAGUAAAGGACUUAUCAAACUGGUUUCAAAGCACAGAGCUCAAGUAAUUUACACCAGAAAUACCAAGGGUGGAGAUGCUCCAGCUGCUGGUGAAGA